GGGAGGGAGGGAUGGAGCCGCUGCCGCUCCCGGCUCCGGGGCCGGCCCUAUGGAAAAGGCCAUCAGGGAAGGAGUGGAAUCAUUGUUGAGAGACACCGAUGCAGGACCUGGAUCUGUGAGGACAGAGUGACCAACCAGGAGAAGGAUGCACGGGAGAAUCUGUGGUGGCUUAAGCCCAAGACAAUGCAUCUCUCCUGUAAAAAUGCACAAGAGACUUUCAACUAAAACAUGGCCUGAAGAAAGUUAAUGAAGUUGUUAAUAGUCUGUGUCACAAAUGAGAAGACUGUGGAUGAUUCUGGUUUUUUCCUUCAGGCCUUAAUGAGUCAUGAAAAUGAUAGAAAGCUAAUUUUUCUAAUGGAGCAGGUUCUGUAAGUAAAAGAAGAGGAAAAAAUCAAGAAAAAACUAAAAUACAGACAUCUGAUGACAAGAGCUACUACUGGUGGUGACCAGUGUGUUGUAAGCUGGAAUUUUCUUGAAUCUUAAUGGUCGUUUUGACCUAAUUUACUUUUUUAGAAAGGUCAAAAACUUUUUUUUCUGCUAAAGGUCAUGUACUUCAACUAAGAAAUCUUCUCUCAUCUACAGAACAAUACAGCAACAUAAAAUUCAGGUGUUUUUCAUUCUGAACAUAUUAAUGGAUCAUGAGCAAUAAGCCUGGAGUAUUUCACACCCCUUUGCCCUGCCCUCAUUAAAUAAUUCCUUUUUGUGCUUGUGUGUGUGAAAGAUCCCAGGCUUAUGUAGUUACCCAGCAGCAGGGUCAUCCACUGGAGCCUGGAGAUGGAUGUAAUUUCACACAGAAGGAAAAUGACAUUCUCAAAACCCACAUGGACCUGAUAAUUGUGAGAGAAGUGUGAGAAGAAAGCUCCUUGUAAAACAAGGGUGCCACAUUUAGAUAAAAACCUUGAUUUCAGUCUCAGAAAUGCUGUGGACGUUUCAGUUGAAUAAUGCAGCUUUAUUGCUUCUGGAAAUGGUUGCACCUCUUGGUCAAUCAGGUCAGGUUCUUCCUGAGGGCUCUCAGGCCUUAUACCUCAAAUGGGAAUGGCACUGCAGGAAUAUUGACAUUUUCACAUCAUUCUUCCUAUCGGAAUAACAGCUCAAUGAACUGCCCCUAAAAUGAAAAAGAAGGAAAGAAAACCGAAAAUGCUUUUUCAAUAAAUUGGUGAUCUUGCUCAGAAAUAUUGAAGGGACGCAUAGCAAACUAGAGUGGUCACAGGACUUGCAACAGUGUGUUGUGUGGGGAAAAAAGCUACCGCUAUCCUAAUUGGGGAAUUUCUCUGACAGGAAACUAGGAUCCAUUCCACUUGACAAUUUCUUCAUGUAAACUACAUAAAAUAUUUUAUAAAACCUGAUUGAUUUCCAUAACAGAAUUUUGGCAGUUUAAAGCGAAACGUGUUGCUAUGACAGUUCCUACAAAUCUUUUAGCUUUGUUUUGUAUUAUAAAUAUGUCAAAAUGAAGCCAUUUCUGUCCAAACAAAAAAUCCCCAAGCUUUAUAAAAUUGUUUCUUACUUGCCAAAGUCAAGAUGAAGGCUAAUUUCCAAUGCUGUAACUUAGAUCUGCAUAACCAUAAACCCACAAGGACAUAGCUUUGGUCUUAUAAAUAAGUAAUGUCAUUAGAUACAGUAUUCUUAGUUUAAUUGACUCUGUUUGCUACUCUGUAUAACAGUGAAUAAAAAAUAAAGGACAUGUAGCAUUGGUGA